rnacentral:rRNA from 1 species
UGGGGAAUAUUGGACAAUGGGGGCAACCCUGAUCCAGCCAUGCCGCGUGUGUGAAGAAGGCUUUCGGGUUGUAAAGCACUUUCAGCGGGGAGGAAGGCUCACAGGUUAAUACCCUGUGGGAUUGACGUUACCCGCAGAAGAAGCAUCGGCUAACUCCGUG